GGGGGUGUGGCGGAAUGGUAGACGCGACGGAUUCAAAAUCCGUUUUCGCAAGAAGUGUCGGUUCGAGUCCGACCACCCCUACCA
rnacentral:tRNA from 2 species